AAGUCGCUGGUCUAACCAUCUACAGACCAGAACAGAGUAGUCAUCAGCAAGAUGAUGAUGCCUCUCAACACCACUUAGUGCAAUUGGAAUUCACGAGCAAGAAAUAUCCUCCCUCCUCUUCGUCCUGCAAGAGCUGUCCAGUAUGACGAUAGUCAGAGAGCAACAGGCAGUCCCCCCCCUGCAAUGUGCUCUGAGGGGGAUUUCAACCUGGGGAAGCCGAGCGCCGCACUAACAAGGUUAUUCAUCCUCAGAGGGAUCCUGCAGUUUUUCGAUACAUGUAGCAUCAAUGGCUUUGAGGAACCCCGUCUGCCUGCCCGCCGGCUAGCUCAGUGUGGAGUCUUCAAAGAGCACUCACAUAGAUCAUGAAAGAGGCGCUUCUACAUAUUGAAACAAAAUAGAGCA